GUGCUUAAACGGUACAUAUACUAAAAUUGGAAUGAUACAUGAAUUAGUAUGGUCCCUGCUCAAAGAUGGCAGGCAAAUUUGUCAAGCAUUCCAUAUUUUU
ensembl:snRNA U6 U6 spliceosomal RNA